CGAAAGGAUUGCUAAUACCGCAUGUGGUCAUUGGAUUUAGAAACCGAUGUCUAAAGGAGCAAUCCGCUUUGGGAGGGACCUGCGUCCCAUCAGCUAGUUGGUGAGGUAACGGCCCACCAAGGCGACGACGGGUAGGGGACCUGAGAGGGUGGCCCCCCACAAUGGAACUGAAAUACGGUCCAUACACCUACGGGUGGCAGCAGUAGGGAAUAUUGGGCAAUGGGCGAAAGCCUGACCCAGCAACGCCGCGUGUGUGAUGAAGGCCUUCGGGUCGUAAAGCACUUUUCUGGGAGAUGAGAAAGGACAGUAUCCCAGGAAUAAGUCUCGGCUAACUACGUGCCAGCAGCCGCGGUAAAACGUAGGAGGCGAGCGUUAUCCGGAUUCACUGGGCGUAAAGCGCGUGCAGGUGGCGCGGUAAGUUGGGCGUGAAAUCUCCCGGCUCAACUGGGAGAGGUCGUCCAAUACUACCGUGCUUGAGAGCAGAAGAGGAAGAUGGAAUUCCCGGUGUAGUGGUGAAAUGCGUAGAUAUCGGGAGGAACACCAGUGGCGAAGGCGAUCUUCUGGUCUGUUUCUGACACUCAGACGCGACAGCUAGGGUAGUAAACGGGAUUAGAGACCCCGGUAAUCCUAGCCGUAAACGAUGUGAACUUGGCGUUGGUGGGUUAAACUCCAUCAGUGCCGUAGCAAACGCGAUAAGUUCACCGCCUGGGGACUACGGCCGCAAGGUUAAAACUCAAAGGAAUUGACGGGGGCCCGCACAAGCAGCGGAGCGUGUGGUUUAAUUCGAUGCUACACGAAGAACCUUACCCAGGCUUGACAUAUAGGUGGUAGAGAUCCGAAAGGUGACCGACCCGCAAGGGAGCCUGUACAGGUGUUGCAUGGCUGUCGUCAGCUCGUGUCGUGAGAUGUUCGGUUAAGUCCGCUAACGAGCGCAACCCUCGCUGCGUGUUACAAGUGUCACGCAGGACCGCCGGUAUUAAGCCGGAGGAAGGUGGGGAUGACGUCAAGUCAGCAUGGCCUUUAUGCCUGGGGCUACACACACGCUACAAUGGGCAGUACAAUGGGUUGCUAAGCCGCGAGGUGGAGCCAAUCCCCCAAAACUGUCCUCAGUUCAGAUUGCAGGCUGCAACUCGCCUGCAUGAAGCCGGAGUUGCUAGUAAACGUGCG
rnacentral:rRNA from 1 species